AGGGAAUAUUGCUCAAUGGGCGAAAGCCUGAAGCAGCAACGCCGCGUGGAGGAUGAAGGUCUUCGGAUUGUAAACUCCUUUUCUAAGAGAAGAUUAUGACGGUAUCUUAGGAAUAAGCACCGGCUAACUCCGUGCCAGCAGCCGCGGUAAUACGGAGGGUGCAAGCGUUACUCGGAAUCACUGGGCGUAAAGAGCACGUAGGCGGCCUUGCAAGUCAGAUGUGAAAUCCAACGGCUUAACCGUUGAACUGCAUUUGAAACUGCAAGGCUAGAGUAUGGGAGAGGUAGGUGGAAUUCUCGGUGUAGGGGUAAAAUCCGUAGAGAUCGAGAGGAAUACUCAUUGCGAAGGCGACCUGCUGGAACAUUACUGACGCUGAGGUGCGAAAGCGUGGGGAGCAAAC
rnacentral:rRNA from 1 species